rnacentral:lncRNA from 1 species
UGCAGGAUACUCCCAACGUUCCUUCUACUCCAAAAUAUUGCUGUUUAGAGAGAACCUUAACAUUAUCUGACUUUCUUCAUCUGGAAGACAAGUAUCGAUACCUUACAACUUCACUUGACCAUAAGCCCCUUUAAAUGAGCCAUAAAGAGGUUGAGAUCUUCGAAAACUGAAGAUAUCCUCGAUUUGAACUGAGGAUGGUUGAGCCGGUUGGUUUUUGUCGGUCGUGUACUCAGAUGCGUGCAGGCUCCCGUAAACUCGAAUGGAUAGUGUCUUCUUUCUAGCUGCGCCAACUUUUACAUAUUCAUAGAAGAAAUCCAGCAACUCUUGCUGCGUUAGCUGUCUCAGCGCUGCUACCUGUUCCCAUAUCAUUUGUAAGAAAUUAAUACUUUAUUACUGAAGUCCGGUUGAGAAAUAUGUCCUAAACAAAGGCUAUCAUGAAUACCAAUUGUGUUUCUCCAACUACAUAUCUCUUAGUACUGGCAACUCCACCCAUCUUAUAGGUCAAAGCAGAAAGAACAAUUACAGAAUACUUGCCUAGUUAAUUAGUCCAAUUCCUUGUUCAUACCUCAGUUUCUCUCCUGUCAAAUUUUUUAGUCCCGUUAGAAAUUUCUUCCCAGUAGAAUGCACAUUCUUCCCAAAGAUUCUUGUGUUUCUCGAGCUUCAUAUCAAUCAAAGCAUUCACAUUGCUCUGCAGGUGAUAGAGAAACGAUUAGCAUGACAAUGCUAUGCCUUUUAGCUAAAAGAUGGCACAGUUAGUAUCAAUAUCAUUGACACAAGAAUGCACUCGAGUGCAAAUCUUGAAAAUGGGAUGGAUAUUAGGAAAGUAUCAGAAAGGAAGUUCUCAUUAAGUAAUUUUGGAAGUUAGUUUUACCCCGGAAAUUGAAAUCACCACUACAAGAGAUUUUUCUUAUCGAGUAAUUCUUAUAUAAGCUCCCAAAAGAUUCUCGAUGCAUUUUUGUUUUUUUUUUUUUAAUGCAAGCAGCAGCACUAGUCCAUGAGUCUAUCCUAAGGAAGUGCUUGAUGCAAUCUCUUCCAGGUACAUGCGUUAUUACUCCUUCCAUGAGAAGCAUUCAGUACGUAGAUGAACAUGACUUGGAAGCAAAAUUUGUCCAUAGACCGACGGAUGAUAUCAGCUUACUUUCCCUUCUAUGAACCUGUUAAAUUACAGAUCCAAUUUCUAGAAUCAGCUAGAGAAUACUAUAAAAAAAUUUGGACUUAGAGUGCGUUACCAAAGUCUCUUCAGCCAAAUAUUGAGUGUUUGGCAAAAAUUUUGCAAAUCCUAUUGAAGAAAAGUGAGCAUUUAGAAGGCUGAAAAACCAAAGCAGGUAUGCCCACAUCGGUACUGUGCAAUCUUUUAUUUUUCCGAAAUUGUCCUCACGAACUUUUUGUUUUUCGUUUAUGCCCUUGUUAUGUGACACUGUUCAUCUUCCCGUUGAGAUGGCCGGCUUGGUUGUACCUGGCUACGAGGAGUCGGCGACGGCUAGAGAGACGCCGGCUUGGUCGCGACGACCUAGGUGACCAUCGCCAGAGAGUCAGGCGACCUCCGCGAGUCGUGCCUUCGCCCGACCCCUCACGGGUCGCGGCAACCCAGAUCUGAGUCGUCGCGCGACCACGGCGAGGGGUUGCCGAUCUGGGUUGCGGCGGCCCAGAUCUAGGUCACCGUAACUCAGGGGUCGCCGCGACUCGGAUCUGGGUUCGCGGCGACCCACCCAGAUCUGGGUUCGCAGCCACUCAGAUCAGCCCGACGGUGGUGAAGAAUCGGUGAUGCGGGGGGCGUCCUCGCAGGCGGCGGCGACGACAGCGAGGGAGGCUCGGUGACGCGGGGGCAAAGGGACACGUCGAGGGCGGCAGCAUUGGGGCAGGGAGCGAGGGCGGUGGGGAGGUGCUCGGUGCAAAGGGGGCGGAGGAACUUCUGGUGGUGGGACUCGCCAGUGUGGAAGGAGCAGUAGACGAGGGAGGACUUGCGAUCGAGCAGGACAUGGUAGAGGAAGUCGAGGAUCAGGAGCACAAUCUCCUCGGACAGGAGGUCGAAGUGGGCGAAGCCCUCCGGUGUUGGGACCACUGGGCCUCUGCUUCUUCAUGGUCCUAGAGGAGAGAUUGAGAUGAUGGAGGCGAAGAUGACGGUGGUUAAAGAUGAAAAGGAGAAGAAGAUGUUGUCCUGGCUGCCUGAGAUCUGGCAACUUGAUAUGUCGACUGUCGGCGACAGAUUUCGAGCCAACCAGCUAUUUUUUUUUUCUUUUAAAUCAUAAAUUUUUUUUGUAAAUAUAAAUUUCUUCAAACACUAUUUUACUGGUAUUUUACUAUUUUACUGGUAUUUUUCAACGGACUUUUAAAUUAUAAUUCACGAAUGCAAUUUGUAGUUUAAAAAAUUUCUUUAAUUUAAAGGUUUUUUGCAUUUUUUCAAAAGCUUUUCUCAUAAGUUCAAACUGUAAAAAAAUGUAGAGAAGUCAAGAAAAAUUCUAGAAAAGAAAUCUAGCUUAAGCGGCAAUGAAUAGUCUGGAAAGCGCUAGUGUAGGAGUGUCUGGGAGAAAGAAGGAAAGAAAUGUCUGACAAGGGCAGAAGAUUUUCCUUGAGUAAGUCGGUCAUCAUCCAACUCGUGGUCGCAGUCCAACAACCCGAGCUCCUUCUCCUUCCCUCUGUAGUUCUCAUCGAUUAAUAAAAGCCUUCCCUUUUUCCCUCUGCUUCCCUAGCCGUGAAAGUCCACUUUUAUGUACACAUCCUUCUGCUAUCCCCUAGCUAAGUAAAAUCUCACAUACUCACCGGAAACUAUCACUAUUAGCUUCCGCAAACCUUCAGAACCCUUACUGAGCAGUGGCAUCCAACACUGCCGUGGAUUCUUACUGAAGAGAAGGCAAGCUGACAUCUUAAGAGUAAUAAUAUGAACAUCUACACUACUUACUACUUAGUUGAGAAUAUCUUUGCCAGGGACUGCUCAUAAAAAUGACUACGUCAUUCAAGGGUUUCACUCUUAAUGUACCUUCCACAUGCCAAGUGUCUCGAACACUUAUUUCGAUUAUAGAUCUAAUACCAGAAUUCAAUGGGUAAUCUUAGCAUUUGAUAUGCAUUCCCAGUGGAUCUCAAUUUUCAAUUAUUAUACCUUUUCAUUUUAUCAAAGAAGGUUGUCACUCAAUUAAUGUACCUUCCAAAUGCCAACGUUAUUGACUCACCUUGAAGUCUUCAUUCGUCAUCCGAGAGAGUUUGCUUUCGAACAUUUUUAGGAAUUCCUCAACUCUCAAAUCAAUAUUACCAGGCCCCUAGAAAGAUGGACAUAUUAGAAUAAGAGGCAAUGACCUUGGUCCAAAAAGACGUACAAAAUGUUGCUAGUCACCUUCGCUGUGGAUUGGAUGAGGAAUUGUAGUCCAUGAAUUCCAUAAUCGUUCCUAUGUUGAAGGAGACAUAAAAAAAAACGAAGAGCGAGAAACAGUAACUAUGCAUUAAAACUUUGUAGGUCAAGGAGUGCCUUAAGUACCUCUGCAUAAGCUCGGUUAUGUACCCAAGCUGCUCCACAGAUCUAAGCUGGUGGAAUGCCGCUUGUUUGGCGAUUAGAGCAAAAAGCUGAAGCUUUACAUUCAUCAUGAUAUCAUCCUGGUGAACCUACAUAAUCAAUCAAAUAGCAAAUCAAAACCCUUCCAAAGAAACAAGAAAUUGAAACAUUUAAAAGCAAAACAUUACUAUAGUCAUACCAGAAGAAGAGGGGGAGAAGCAAGCAGGGCGAGGGGGAGCUAGACAAAAUCAUUUUCUGAUUUUAGCAAAGGAAUAUGAAUGCAUCAAGAAAGGAAUAACAUCCAGAAGUAAAUCAACUCACAGACAACAGAAGAACAAAGAACAGUUUCAGAGAAGUAUAUAUAUAAGCUACUGCAAAAAUAUAGAUGAAUCAAAAUUGACAUUGAAAAAGCAAGUUCAUACAUUAGUAUUAAAACAUGGGAUUCUUCAGAGUAUACUAGUUAUCAAAUAACAAUAUAUUCAGAUGUAUCCUUUGUCAACUCCCAGACAACUAGAGAUCAAACAUGGGAUUCUUCUGGUCUUCUAGCUAAUUUCCAAUCACCAACAGCAAAUGGAAAAAACAAACACUCGACUGAACAGAGUAGGCAGGAGUACAUGCACUUGGCAAUGAAAAUAAGACAACCUCCUGAUUUUUGAAUUCACCAAAUGUUGGACUGUAAAAGAGGAUGUAACAAGAGGAUUCAUAAUGUCCUAUAAAUGCUAUUUUAUAUUGUUCUGAAAGCAAUCAAUAAGGCUUUACACUCACUUUGAGACAAAGGAACAAGAAUAAGCACACAUAAAUUCUAAAUCUAAAGCCUUUACAAGUGAAGAUUGACAAGGAGAGUGACAGCCAAAAUGAUCUUCAUUUCGAAGAUAAUAUAUAUUCCGAGCUUUCAGGUUACAUCCUGACAAUUUUGCACUUGUGUAUGCAAAUCAAGUCAUGGAACUACCUGAAUAUAGUGCACCAGAGCAGAAUUCUGAUCACUUGGAUUUAGGCCUUCCGUACAGUAGAAGUGACUCAAUCCAGUUCCUAGUUUAACUACUCUAUUUGUCAGAUGCUGGGAUGGAUAUAAAGGUUGACAUAUUGGCUGUGGACCAUGGAAGAGAACAUUUUCAAUAUGCUGAACUAUAGAUUCUGCUUCACCACGUUCAAUAUUCCCUGCAUAAGACGUAGCAGAUUUAACUUGAAACUCAAAAGGGGAUGGCAGUGAUCUCCCACAAAUUUUAGAAUGAAGCUGUAGACUACAUACCAGCUACAUAAAGCUCCAGUGAGGUCCUCGAUAGCAUUAGGGGCAAAAAGUUGGUGAGAUCUUCGUUCUCAAGUGAGGGAAGAACUUCAAGUUGUUCUGUCCAGGGCCAAGUGUUGUCUUGCAGUAUUAGUGAGCUACAGUACAUAGCAUGCUCAUAUGGUUGCUGAAACUUCAAAUUCUGAUAAUCUUUUGUCACCACUUCCUGUAACAUAUAUGGGCAAAGAGAGAACCACAAAGCUAACUUUGCAAAAACAGAAGGUAAAUGGUGCAGAUAUUUCUAUGAGACAGAGGGAGAGCUAAAGUUUACCUUGAUCACAGCAAAUCUCUCAGGUCUCACUUUAAAGGUUGCAAUUUUCUCGAUGAUUUUUUCCAGCAAUAUCCUCAGCUUGUGAUUAUAACCUACCACAGUGACCUAAGUAUGAAAACAUAUGGUCAGCACAUAAAAUGUCCAAUCCUGCAUACGUAAGACAGACAAGGGCACCCUGUAGAAUCGCCUGUCCACUUUAUUUCCAUUUCAAAAAAUUUAAGGGUCUUUUUGAGGACAGAAAAAUUGAACGGAGGAAAAGCAUAAAAGCAUUUCCCAUUUUUAUGCUCAACUAAACUAAAAGUAGCUUAUUUCAAAAACAAGAACCUGAAAACCUGUGUUGGUGUCAUGCACACCGUAAUAAAGGCCGGCAACCUGCGCAUAAUAAGCUGAAACAUAGCCAAAAAAACAAAUUAAGGAGAGAACUAGCAGUAUAUGGUUACGGUAAUAUACGAGUAAGAUAGAAGAACAGAUUUGCAGAAUAGGGACUGAAUACUACUUUAAGCUAUACGAAAUCACAUUGAACAUCGAAUGCCAUUUUCAAAGGAAUAAGUACAGUAAAAUCAAGACUGAUAUGAAACAUAGCAUGAGAUAUUCCCAAAUAGCCUAGUGUACUUUAGCAUCUUACCGAAUUCAUUCAAGUAAUCCAUCAACAACCGAGUAAAUAAAUCAGUCAGCACUUCAGCUUCAGAUGAGUUGCUAGCAUGGGGGCAGCUGAAAUCUAUUAUAAUGUAUGCCUUGGGAGUGGAGAAUACGGUAUCUGGCUUGAACCAUAAUGUUGAGUACGAUGACUUCCUCAAGAGAACCGGCAAGUUGAUCUGUUCAAAAGAUCGGUCACUAUAAGAGCCAAAAAAUGAACAGGAUAAGUUCAGAAUGUAUUGUACACCGUACCUUUUCUCCUGAAAUUUUUAGAGAGAAAUCGGUAGGGAUGAAUACAUUGGGUCCUGGUAAAUGCAAAUUUUCAUCAGGAGAAUAUGACAUCCAUUCCUGCGAUCAAUACAGACAACCUUUAAUUCUUUCUGUUCUCCACCAAAAGUAAAAAUUGUAUACUCCAUGUCUAGGUAAUCUCAUUUAUCUCCACUUUUUUAGUGUAAAUGUGCACACUACAUUUUGAAAGAAGGACAAUCGCUCUAGUUGGUUGGAGAGGGUCCACAUUACUUUAGUUGAAGAAGUACACCUAAUAAAAGCAAUUGAUGUGACUAUAGUGGUGAUUAUCUCUGAGACAUUUUAUACAAAUGAUUCACCCAGUAUCUAACAGAAUCACACCAUCAGAAUACCAAAAGAAUAAGCUUGGUAGACCUGAUUACGUUUGAAUAUUGCAGGGAAUGAAUUAUUAUGGUGGGGGCUGCGAUUUUGCCAACUACUCAACAAAAUCAAUUGAAGAUUAGGAUUAAAUCAUCAAAGCAUUAUGUGCCACUUCAUCCGUGAAACCCCUCUACUUAGAAUGAAAAUCGGUGACAAGACUAACAAGGAAGGGAUACCUGUAUAGUAGAGGCAGAGAUUCUGUUCAUGGAAUAUGCUGUUCCAUACCAUGGUUCCACCAUGUCAGUAGCUCCUUCAAAACUCUUGGACUCCCAAAAGAUUCUGUUAAAUAACAUACUCAUUCCUAUUUAGGAUUAUUGACAUGUCUUCCAAUUUGCUAAAGAAAGGAUGGUUGCAAUGCAAUCCUUCUGGGGAAUUUUUUUAUUGCAUACGUUAGCAAUAACUAUGAAUAGCAUGACUUAUUUCUGGCAAAUAGGGAAGGUAACUAUCUGGGAUAAUUUAUGAUCUUAUUAGGACAUUCUGGAUUUCAUGUUCAAAAGCAAGCUGGAAAGUGGACAUGGUUAAAUAACAUUGGGUAAUGAAAUGGCAGUUCAGCAACUGCUUUCUCCGGUAGUUUGCAUAAAAGACAUGUUAUAAAUAAACUCAAUAUAGAAAGAGAUUUCUCAAUUUUGACUCAGCGUAACCUGUGCAUGAAUAUCCCUAUUGUCAAAUCCAUGCAGAUUUGCCAUAAAAAAUCAUUGCAGAUGACUUUUCCAAGUCUGAUUGCCUUUAUACAGACAACAUGGUGCCAGCAUGAAGGGUUGUGUCUCGACAGGUGCAUGCAUGUGAAAGUGCAUGUUAUUACUGGCCUCUUCUACUUCUCGCGAGUGCAGAAAUGGCAGUGAGGUGGGUUUGGAAUGGCCGGGCCCACAAAGACGGCGAACCUGAUUAGACUGGUCCUCUGGUAUUCCUAUGCAGGUUUGGACGAGUCGAGAAACCAAGUUAAACUGGUCCUCUGUAUUCCUAUGCAGGUUUGACAUCCAUACAGAGGCCCGGUGAAGUAAUUUUUUUUUUUUUUUUAAAUGAACCUUCAAUGCACUCGCAAGUCACAAUACAGGAGCCGGGAAAAGAACGGUGAAGUAGUCAUCAUAAACAUUGGUCAUUUGGUAAGCCCUAUGGCAUGAUAUUUAAUAUUUUCUUAGAAGCAAUAGACUCACCGGACAUUGUCUGGAGAGAGCUUAUCCAGCACCAUUUGAAUAGUGCCGGGAUUGAAUUCACAAGGCAUAGAGGAUCCCACGAUCCAAUGUUCAGGUGGAUAUAUCUAAAGUUCAAUAAAAAAAUGUUAAAUAUGUGAUACCCAUAAUCACAAUGAUUUCACUUCAAUCAGGCAUGGCGUGCUUUAAACGCAAAAAGAGAAAAUGUCCCUAAGCGCAAGUUCUUACUGAAAAAUGGAGUACUUAAAAGAACCAAUAUUUAAAUCUCAUCUAUAUUUCAUUUACUCUAACCCCAAGAACUGAUGAUAAACAUCCGAAGAUGUUAAUCCUAGAUAGAUGAGCUUAGCAGGUACUUGUCAUGCUGUUUAUGGCCUUCAAACUCUUGAGAAUCGUUCUACCUUAACAACUAGCACUUUGCAGGUGUGCGACUACUCUCCACGGCAUACAGGGACAGGUAUACGUUUUAAGUUGUGGCAGAAGCUGCCCUCGUGCAAAAUAACGUUUUCAAACCAUUUUAAAGAUCUUCUCAUUGAUGCAUCCGUACAAGCCACUGGUCAAUGUGGAACACUUGAAACCUCUCGAAACAUACAAAUUUUGACAUGUAAAUUUAAAUACAAUCUUUUUACAAAACUUUAAGUAUCUUUUCCAUUUUCACAUUUUGAAGGAAAUUUUUGGUUUUUUAAUCAAAACCAAACGGGCUCUUAGUUACCGAUUAACUUCAGCGUUAUCAAUAAAAUUAAUGUCAAGUUAACUUCCACUUCCAAAGAAUUCUACACAGCCCUUAAUAACACUUAGGCAUCAUCGACACACAUGUAAAUAAAUAAGAAGGCAAACGGGAGAUCUAAGGAAUGCUUGACUUACCUCCAUAUUGGAUGCGACACAGACUACGUAAUCAAUGGGAGGGAUUUUGUCUUGAUAAUGAAACUCAGUCUCACACAAGGCUGAGAGCUUCAUCAACACAUCCAAGAAUGGAUAAGUUUUUAGGAAAGUAUAUCCCAAAAGAAAUAAUUAUGAACCAUGAUGCAUUAAAUUAAUGUGGCAUUCAUAGAAAUAAUUAUGUAUGACCCUAUCGAAAAAGUGACAUUAAAGCAUGUCGACCUAAAAGAAAUUAAUUGGUAAUCUUGCACGUGAAUGAUGCCAUGCGGCACAACCAUUUGCUAGUAAUAACCACUUUCAUUAAUGUAUAGAAACAGGUAUAGGCAAGUAGUGGAUUUACCUGCCUGAUAUUCAUGUAGCAUAUCUCAAUGAAGUAUAAACGAAUGGACCACUUAGCUCAUGACUAUUUCUCACCAUAAUGAUACGUUCAAAAUGAAUUAGAAACAAUACACAACCAUAUUGUGCCAGUAUCUGCCCAAAUCUGUUUUGUUGCAAUCGCCAAACUAUUUGAGAUGUUCAACGUACUAAACAUUAAUGAACAAGAAGAAUAACCAGCCACAAACAGGUGAUGCGCUUAUUGUUUUUCAAAUUUUUUCUAUAUGCGGGUAGGAGUACAAGAUGCCAGUUGAAAAACUGAGUAUAACACAACCACGGAUAGCAGCAGAAGAAAUUGCUCAUAUGCAUGCCAUCAGAAGUCAAUCUUUGCUUUUCUCAAGUGAAGAACGAGAAAAUGAGCAAACCUUUCCACGUAGUUCAUUUGCAUACCUCAUCAAAUAUCCACUUGCAGACACCGGACUGCUGUAAGAGAAUAAUAUAUUUGAACAACAAUCCAAUGACAUCUUGCAUAUGUUCUGCAAACAAGUCAACCAAAUAUCAUUAACCUCAAAAACCAACUAUUCCAUAGAUGAAUGGACAAAAGAGUGCUUCUAGACAUUUGGGAGAAAAAAAAAUCAAAGCUUUUAUAGGUAUAGUAUAGUGUAUGGAAUAAGAGGACCUUAUGAGACAACUCUAGCAUCUAGUAGCAGAAAAACAACUAUCUGUAUAACAAUUUCAAACCGGCAAUUGCCAAACAUCUUCUAAAGUGCAAGGCAGAGGUAAACGACAAUUCCAUAAUUUUAAGGCGAAGACUGUCUAAAAAUAUGACAAGUCCAAUUUUCCACCAUGAAACCAAGGUAUCAUUAAGUUUGGGAAAUAGCAAUGUUUCAGUCAAGAACAAAAUGGAGAAGCCAAAUUAAACAGAAAAAUAAAGGGGAAGAUAAGACAGAAAAGGAAACAUUAAGUUCGAAAGCAAAGCUCUUAUUCGCCCAAGCAGAAAAUCAUUUUCACCACAAAUUUACCUCCUAUCGUCACUAGGACACUUAACGAGUAUGCAAAAUGCAACACAAUCGCUAAUUCCUCCGACUUAAAUAUUAGGAAAGUUGACAAACAUCCGUGAGAAAAGCAUAUUCUGAUUGCUAAUGAUAAAGAUGAAUGCUAAUAAAAAACACUACUAACGACUAAGUAGAAAAUGGAAAAGCUUAUCAUCUCUGUGGUCAUGCAAAUGAAUACUUGAGAACGUGAAAAAUGAAAAAGGGGCUGGCAAAAAGCCUGGAUGCAAGCAGGGGUAGACCCACACAAAUUGACCGCAGAGCUGCACAUGCCCGAGACAACAAAACCAUCAAAAGCAUGUGCAAGCGCAAGUGAGCAAGGGAGGGAGGGGGAGGUGUUUCUUAUGAUAAACCACUAGGAGAGAAUGAAGAAUAUGAAGAAACAAACCAUGACCAGCAUCAGUAAGAUCAAUUUGCACUGUAAAAAAUGCAAAUUCCCAACACGAUUCCCCUUCACCUGCAAAUAAACUCGUAGCCCAUCCUGGAGCAUCAAAGCCACGAAUGGCAAAGGAAGACAAAGCAUUAGAAAUUCACAGGUAAUGUAGCUAGAUUUGAUAAGUUCUUCUAAGGAAAAAGGAAAAAAACAAAGACAUGCUAGAGUUUUCACCUCCCUAGAAAAAUUACAACUAUUGAAGUAUUAUCCCACAUCACUUGACAAUGGAUCCUAAAUGCUCCUUAUAUUCAUGUGGCCUCCCUCCACUGAUCAACUUAAGCUAUUACUUUGGAUUUUCUAACAUGGUAUCGAAGCCAGUGCUCACCCUUUCACAAAUGUGUGGUCAGAAUUCCUCAAGUUGCUAAAUCCUAAACUUGCAGGUUCCAGCCAGUCUACUUGCUCUGCAAUUCUAUAAUUUACGGAAAGAUGACAUCAAGAGAACAGUCUCGAGAACAUGAUUUUGGGUAAAAAUGUCAGCGAGGUAAGAUCUCGAAAAACAACCGCCUUCUUUUUAUAAUUAAAAGGGUGGGGAAAGGCAAGCAAUGCUAACGACCUCCGCUGCUAAGAUUAGUUUGAACCAUGGUUACUCCACACCACCUACAAUCUGAAAGUCCUGGGUUGGUGAGCUCAUCACCAAAGCCUCAUCAAUAUCUAGAUAAACCAUUGCCUUUGGGCAAGAUGGAAGGAUGCACCAGCUCUCUAGUUGCACCUGGACUGCAUUAUUGUGAUAUCAGGACUGGGCUAUGGACAAGCUAUGUUGUGUUAUUUCAUGCCAGAUACCGAGGAGAGUGAGGUGCCAGCUCUGCAGGGGACUUUCUAUCAUUUUUCUUUUGGCCAAUAGAUUAUUCUGUUGUUGAAAAGCAAAUAUUGCUGCAUAUUCAGCUGUCUUUUUAUUUUGAGGAAGAAAAACUCUUAAAACUUCCGCAGAAACAGUAGCACCUGUAGAAAGAGAUCACUUUCUUUUCUUGAUUGAUGAUGCUCAAGGCAGCUCCAUAUGAAGACCAGACAAUUUGCUAUACUUAAUACUACAACUAGCACUUUCCUAUCUUUUAGGUGGGUUAGCAAUCCCCGCAUACUUGCAAGUAAAAAUUUCUUCUGGGGAGAGAGAGAGAGAUGGACAGACGGACUGACCGAGAGGCAGGCAGGCAGGCACAGGGAAAUCCCUGUGCCCAGAAGCUUCAAAAUUUCCGGAGACUAACAUUUACAAUUUAAAAUUCCAAUGAGAGAAAAUUCCAAUGAGAGAAAACUAUUGGAUAUGCUUACAAACCAGUCACAUAUAAUUUCCUCAUAUAUGAACAGAUGAAUGAGAUAAGAAACGGAGGUGCAGAUAAAAGGGAAAGGCAACUUGUGAGGGAGUAAAAGUCGACUGUUAAAAGCACCUAUAGAUCAACCAAACGAUAUAACCAUCGGAGUCUCCUAUGUGCAUUCUGUUUCCAGUUCCUAACGAAGGACAUCAAAAUAAAAUAAUUGCAAAAGGCUUUUGUCAUUGAGUAGCCCUAAGGGCACUCAUAUAUGAAAAGACGCUAAAAACAAGUGCAGUAAUUUUAUUUAUCACAAGAAAUUGAAACAUGCAAAACUUAUCCUUAACAUGGUCACAGAAGUCAUAUUUGAUCUACCAACUCGUUGAUUCUUUUUCAAUAAAAUUAUUUGACCUGUUUCUGCAACCAUCAGUCAAACACUUUUGUAUGUUCCUUCUUCACAUAUUUUGCAUCACAUUACAAAUGCGUGCAUUCGGAAAUUUGAUGGGGAAAAUCAUGUGAAAGAUGUGCAGACUGACCCAAUGUCUUCAAGACAUAAAACAGAGACCCUUCUCCUUGAUGGCCGAUAAGAUGACCAAGAUACUGGCAAGGACCUUCCUUGUAGUGUUGAAUCUCUGGAGUUACAGGCCAGAUUACUCUCAGUUUGUGACCUUGCUUGAUUGGGACAGUUUUCACAAGAAUCUGGAGAUAAAUUUAAGAAAUCAAGAUCUUCAUAGUUUGUUUCAAUAAGUCUUACCCUUUCCAUGUUUAAAUUAUAAAUUGAAAAUUGCAAAAUCUUAGACAAAGCAGAACAAUCUUGGCAAGGACAUGAAAACCUGUAGAUGCUCUGAGCUGCAAGGUUGUCCAGGAAAGCGAGAAGUGCUUUUGUCAGUAUUUUGAAUUUCUUGAAACUUGCCUUCUACCAGACAGAGAAUUUCAUCUAGAUUUUCUGCCAUUGUCAUCAGAGAUACAAGUUAGCUGAAUAUGAAUAUUUAUCAAAUUUUUACACAUCUCAAGGGAAUUUUGUACAAAAUCUUGUUAGAAUUAUCUGAGUUAUCAGUAUUUGUUUUUUCCAUAAGUCAUCGGUAUUUAGAAACUAGAUUUGAGACAAACCUUUUGAAUAUACGACCAGAUGCAUGAGACUAGCUGAAUAUUUCUCCUUGUAAAAUUGGAUGAGCUCAUUUCUAAUAUCUAGUCCUUUUGCUCUCGGUCGAAUCUCCAAGGUAUCCCAAUUUCCUAUAAUUGCAAGAAGCAAUGUGUUUUCGCAAUGAUGAGAAACAAUAUAACUGAAACAAGACACAUUAUCUUGCUUCUUGCUUUUUAUAAGCAUACAAAUAAUGCAAUAGACUACAAUUCUAACAUACAUGAAACUGAGUUUUUUAGAAACUAAAAAUCAAAAGAAAUCAAGAACUGUGGGGUUUAACAAACGAGAAUUUUUAUCCUUUUCGGCAUUAGACACAGAAAAGUGGAGACACUCACCUGUGCUAAACUUAUGAUAAGGAUGACUUUCCUCGCUUAUAUGUUUCUGAAGCUGCAUAGAUGGACCAGUGUCAGCACUAGCACGAGUGAGAGAAUAACUGACUCUAUAGAGUACAAAAUCACCAUUUUACGCAUUGAAAAGUGUUUUAUUGCAGAACAAUAAAUUUUGUACAGCAAAGUUACAAAAGCUAACAUAAUAUAGUGGGACAACUCGUGAAACUUUUGUCAGUUUUUCGAUUUUCGUACGACUCUAAGAUUUCUCUCACUUCUGUGAGUACUUUGUCUUGGAGAAGUGGUAGAGUUGGGAAUUUUGUCUGCAAAGUCUUAUUUUAGUGCUGGAAAAGAAGAUUGCGGGCGGCAAGGAGGCUUUUACUUGCAAAGCUAUUUGCAAAGUUAGUACCCACUAGAGUUAAAUUUUUUGUUUUGAAAGCAUCUUGUGAAUGUAUUCUCACUUUCCAUAUUUUGCAGAAAAGAGAGAUUGUGCUGGUCAAUAGAUGCCUUUUCAUGCAAAAGAGGGGAAGAGAUGGCGAGACAUCUCCUUCUUCACUGUCCGUGGACAAGAACGAUCUGGGUGGCACUUGUGCUGGUCAAUCACUCUUGUUUUGUUUUGGUUGUUGAUCUGGGAAGAGCAGAAUAAGAAAGCUUUCAUCUGAGAGGAGAAGCCCUAUUUUGUUAUUAUUGAUAGUUGGCUGAAAGUCUUACACUCUUGGUAUAAUGGAAAGUUAUGUCUGGAUGCAAAUGCUUUAACUGGCAUUAUUGAUGAUUUGCUUGUAACUGAACUCUUUUUGUAUAUGACUUUGCAACCCCUUGGUGCCCUAUAAUAAUCUUUUCUUUUACCUAUAAAACAAACCAUACUUAUCCCGAUUGUUCAGGAUACCAUUAUCUCCAGCAUUUAGUUAUGGUAAGGAGACCUCAUCCUCAAAGUUCCUUUUGCAGAGGCAGACAGAUGACAGUCAAAAUCAUGGAGUUCAACUCCUACCUGGUUCAUCCGUCGGCUAUCAAGUAAUAAGUUUUUCUGGUACUCUGCAUGAACAAAAAGGCUAACAAUAAGCCUUUAUAGAAAAUGAUCCCGUAGAAUUAAACAGAGACAAAUCAUUGAAGAAUAUAAUAAGGUUCCUAAUAAACAAUCUAACCAGAAUGAACGGCUUUAAUUUCCCUCAUGGUGGCGUCAGGGGACAUCAAGGGUUUAAUGAAAAACUGCGCAAACCUGUUCAACAUGUAAGAAAACAAGACAGCUGCAGAAGUUCUACAGAAUUUCCUUAAGCUAUCAAUGCGAAAAAAGAGAAAUGUCACAAUGUACCUGUCCAAUGCCUCUUCAAAGCUAUCAACAUUAACAUCGAAAUGGUAGUUCGUGUUUCUAGAUGAUGUAAAGGCAUUUCUACUACCCCCGUGCUAAUCAGCGUGAAAAAAUAGAAAAGAAGAAGAAGUUAUUUUCACAAACUUCAGCUGUGCAAAAGCAUAAUCAUGUGAAGGAAUUGCUUUGUGGAUAAAGGAACCAAUAUAGAAAACAAGCUACCACGCCACCGUAUAUUCCAAUAGAGCAUAAUAAGCAAGAAGAAGAUGCAGAUGCCGUUAUCUACAUGGAAUAAAAAGAGAGAGCUCAAGAAAUCUCGUCCAUCUAAAAUACCAAAGAAAGUUGAUGCCAUAGAAAAGUGAACACAAACUCCUGAUUCUAAGGUCACAAUUUCAGAUUCCACACCGGAUGCCAUAGCACAAUACCUUUUUACCCAUUAUUCUGAAAGCGAUUAACCUAUUCCCAAAAUUAAGCACUGGUACAUUGCCAUUGCAUCAUAUAGCAGUUAAUACUGUCUUGAUUUGAACUCUGAAAGGGAGAGGGAGACGAUGGAAGAACGUACCUUACAGAACCAAAAACAACUAGAAAUUGCAUCAUCACUAUAAGGAGCUAAUUUCCAUGUAUAAUGUGAUGAAAGCGAGAUGAACAACUGGCUCGCCUGCGCACCUUCCUAUGAUCCUAAAAUUGUAGAUGGGACUCAUUGAUUUAACAUUUUGAUCCAUAGCACCAGUACCAGAAAGACUUUGGUUUCUUUCUUAGUCCUCAGGCUACAUGCAUUCAGGUUCAGAAAAAGAAACCUAAAAUCAACUGUUCUGUUAUGCUGAUUGCUGUAGAAAAAUUCAAAAGGAACUGGGAAGUGGAAAAAGAGGCACGUCAACUAUCUACCCAGCAUCUCAGUCACAUGAAACACUCUUAGUCAUGAAGAGGAUAAGCCAGAUGCUUCAUGGAAAAAAAUGUAAGCAGUUACCUCUGUGAUGAAUUUGGAAUAACCAUCCUCCACUGGAUACCUUUCACUAGCAUAAAAUAGCAUGUGCUCUGCAACAACAUAUCAAAAAUAAGCAGGCAGGACUCAAAUGCAUCUGAUAGAAAAAGAAGCGCCUUUUGAGGCGAAAAAACGCGCAUGAUGCAGUUCAGAACCCUAGAACCCAAAUAGAGAAGAGAAACUCCAAGCAGCCAGCUUACUAGUUUAGGCGAUCAGGAAAUAAUUACAGCUGGUGGAUCAAUGACUAAGGUAUUAUAAGUUGACCGUGCUGAUCAAAAUCCGUUACUGAAGAUGUCGCUUUCAGGUGAGCAAGGUUUUAUGCCUAAAGAACGAGUGUUGUAAAAUCAACAAGUGAGAUGACCUUUCGAAACAAAAAGAAACCACACAUCUCGGUUCUCGCUUUUCUUUCGAGGGUGGUUCAUGCCGUGAAUUAAGAAUCCAAGGCGCGAGAUGUCGAAACAAGGUUUUGCAAUAAAACAAUCAGCACCUAUUUGAACUUGAUGUUAAAAUUAUAUUUGGGGAAACCACCUAUAUUUGUUAUACACCUUUUUUUUCAACCUGAUCUGUCGCUAAUACAUCCGUGAGCAGUGAAUUUUGCCUUGAAUAAAUGAUUCUCUUCACCUUCAAACAUAAGAAUUCUGGUCUGGAUGAUGUGAAGAUUAUCAACAAUUUUGACUUAAAAUUUACUGAACUUAAGAUUCUUGGUCUUUUUCCUUCUCCCCGCACAUACAAAAAUCGACAAAGAUGCAAAAGAUACUUCCACGGGCACCGCUCUUGACAGAGAUUGUAGUUUCUACAUAUUCGACCAAUUAAAAAUACGAACUAUUACCGAGAAAAUGCGCGAGACCCUCGAGCCCUUCAGGGUCGCAGAAGUAGCCGACGCCGACAUCCAUAGAAGCAGCACACUGCAGCAUCCAAGGACAACAAAAGCCACAUCCAUUAAGUCAACAGAGUCGUCAUAAGGCAUCGUUUCCUUGCAGGACGAGGCGAUAGACAAACAACAGCAGAUUAACCAGUGCAGGAAUAAACGCAAAAAAGAGUGAGCGCGGCCGAUUCGAGAGGGAUGACCUUAUCGGUGUCGGGGUCGCUGAUGAGGAGGACCUCGAGAGAGUUCUCGAGGACGACCCUCCGGUACUCCCUCUUGUCCGACCUCGGCUUCACUAUCUCCACCUCCUCCCUUCCCACCGCCAUCACGCAAAGGAGCGACGGCGAUCCUCCCCCUCCCCGGCCGGUCGCGCGAACCGGGAAACCUCCUCCGGCUCGAGAGAGAUUUCGAGCUCCGACGGAGUGGUGGUACCGCUAGCGUCGAGGGAACGCUCCGAGUCAAGUUCGAGACGCUGGUCAGCAGCAGCGACGACUUGGAAAUGUACGGUCGUCGCUGGUCAGCAUCAGCGACGGGUAGUGAGGCACGCGCGCAGGGCCCCGCUCUCCUUUCCCGCGAAAAUUACCGGAUUUCUUCACAUUUAAAAUAUUGCCUUAAAUAAAAAAGGAGCUGGCUGCUCCGUUUAUCUGGCGAAAAAUAAAUAAUAUAAAAUUACUUUUUUAUAAAAUAAUCGCUUAUGUAAUUUAAAAUAAUUAAUCAAUGAAAAUAUUUCAUCAUUAACAAUAGUUUAUUUGUCUAAACAUUUUCGUGAACAGUAAAAAUGUUUUCUGUUCAUUUUAUUUUUUAAGUGAUAUAAGUUAUUAUUUUUUUUAAAAAAAAUUCUAAGUUAUUCAUUUUUCAUGAAAUAAAUGGAGCCUAAAAUGCAUUAUUUACGGCUUAUCCAAUCACAAUGAUAAAUAAAAACCAAAAAUGUAAGUACUGAAUAAUAAGAGGCGAAAUAUUUAAAUAUUGAAAAUGAAAAUAAAAAGGUUGCUUGAUAACUUAUGAGAACAAAUUCUAUUGUUUUCUUUCUAAACAUGGGAUAGUGAGCUUUGAUAAAAUUUUACUUUAUACUAUUUAAUAAGUCAUUCUUGCUCACCCUAUUAAGUAAUUUUUCUCUUGAACUAAUCAGUUAAGCAAUAUGCAAUAAGCGGUUAUCUAACCCAUUUAAUGUGCUUAUCAGACACUACUUGGAGGAAUAUAGUUCCUAUGAUAUUUAUAAUGUGUGGCAAUAAUCAAUUUUUUUUACCUGUGCAAUGAAUUGUACUAUACUCACAUGCAUACGCAUCUCACUUUCAAUUGACCGAUUACAACCUGAUUUAUCCAUUGUUCAAAAAACAUUUUACUUGAUACGGGCGAGAAGAAUAGAGAUGAGGGGAAAGGAUUCGAAAGGAGUUCAAGUUCAAGGGAUCGUGUGUUAGAAUAUUGCUCGGAUAAACAAAGGAUAAGAAUGAAAAUAAACCAUUACGACUUAUAUGUCCUUUUAACUACUCAAAACUUAAAUUACAACAAGGGUAUAAGAUAAACUAUUUUAACUUUGAUCCCGACAUUCGAUAUCGACAACCUCCACGUCACAUGAAUGUGUACGAACUGGCAGGCGACAAUCAAUGUCCUAUAGUUCUUCUUUUUGCUUUCAAUACCCCACAGAUUUAUUGUUUAUUAGAAGCAAAGCAUUUUCUAUAAGCAACCGUGAUGACAUCGAUGGGUAUCCAUAGUCCAAAGAAUGACGAGCACAUUGAUAUCUUCAAUUGCUUUUAAUGAGUGCGUGAACACGAUGAUUGGACUUAAAAGCGUAGACACGACGUGUAAUUGUUAUCUUAUCAAACGUGACUUCUUCGAAGUAAUAUAAAUUUUUAUAUUGGCGUUCGACUCGGUCCUCUCGGCCUCGUCGAAACCUCGAAAACAGUGACCACUGUUCAGGAAGAAGAUGAACAAGAAUUGGAAGCAUGCAGGCCUCGGAAUGAAUGACGUCAGUCCCCCGUUCAUGGGAUUUCCAACCGCGGCUGUCCAGAAUACUCCGAACGUUUCUUCUAUUCCAAAAUACUGCCAUUUGAAUUAAUCCAUCUGAAAGACGAUUCGAUUCCUUACAACUUCACUCGACCACAAGCCCCUUUAAAUGAGCCAUAAAGAGGUUGAGAUCUUCAAAAAUUGAGGAUAUCCUCGAUUUGAGUAAAGGAUGGUUUUUUUUUUAUUAGUCGGUCAUUAUUUUACUCCUAUUCUAACUUUCACUCUAAGGCUUUUGCUCCCGUAAACAUGAAUGGAUAGUGUCUUCUUUCUAGCCACGCCAACUUUUUCAUAUUCAUUGAAGAAAUCCAGUAACUCUUGCUGCAUUAGCUGUCUCAGCGCUUCUACCUAUUCCAGCAUCAUUUGUAAGAACUUAAUACUAUAUUACUGAAGUUUGGCUCGAGAAUUUCAUGUAAGAUUUUUUUUUUUUAUGUGGAAUAUAUUAAUUGACAUUGUAAUUUACCGUUUUAUGAGACUUGAUCUAAGAUGAGAUAGAAGGUUUCUUAAUUAGUAUAAUAUGAAAUUGACUAGUGUGGGCCGAGUUGAGCCUAGCCCAUAAUGAGAAGGCCUAAUUGAAAACUUUAUAAAUAAUGCUUAAGUCUCUCUUCUAAUCCUAAUUCUCACAAGUAUCGUGAGCGUUUACCUAGCGAAUACAUAGGCCAAUAGUAGAGAAUGACUUGCGUAUGGAACAUCAAUUUUCCGCUUCUACUUCAAGAACGAUAUAUCCUAAAAUAGGUGCGUUCAUCUUUCUAUUAUGUGUUUUCUUGUUUUGGUUAUGGAAAUCAUGAGAUUGUGCGAUUUGCGUUCAACAUAUGGUAUCAGAGCAACCAUAACCUAGAAUUCGAAUGCAUGGAAUUUUUGUUAUAAUUUUGAGAUUUUCGUGAUUUUUUGUUCAAUAAAAAUCAAAUUAAAUUAUAUAUUCAAACUAGGCUCGUCGAGACAAGCAGAUCCAUAGGUUGCACGCCGCUAGGGCGUCGAAGAUGCGCCCCACACGCCCUCACGUGCUCCCACACGUGGGGCGCGGCUCGCGCGAGUGAUGCAUGCGGGUGCUAAUGUCACAAUGACGUCAACGGCCCGGGCCCGAUACGAUACGUGGCCGACCCGACCCAGUCAACCGGUCAGACUGGGCGGUUGGACCGAACGGUCGAGUCGGGAACCGAUUGGACCGCUAAUGGCCUAAUCGGUUUUUGACCGGUUUCUUCACCUGCGCGUGAGCUCUGUGCGCCCUGCACUUAGGCGGCGCAUGCGGGCGUGUGAGAGCUCCGAUGGGCACGUGGUUGGUAGCUACAGGUUUGUAUGAGUAUUUAUUAUCUUGUGGUGUAUUUAUUUUACAUGUUUGAUGAUUUUAUGAAUGUGAAAAUGCAUAUAAAACCCUAAAUACAUAUAUUUUUAGUGUAUUUUUGCGUAUUUUUUGCGUAUUUUUCUGUGAUUUUGAAAAUAUAGGUGGUGGUUUACAAGUAUAUUAUCACAUAAACAUUAUAAAAGUGUGAUUCAUUAAUAAUAUAUAAUAAAAUUUAAUUUUUAUUAAUGAAUAAAGUAAUAUAAUUAGUAUGAUAUGUGAUUUUAGCGAUAUGUUGCCCAUAUCACUAAAAUUAAAAUCAUAUGUAUAUGAUAUAUGUGAGAAGUAAAGUUUAUAUCUCUGAUAUGAGAUAUGUAUAUGAUGUAUGUGAGAAGUAAAGUUUAUAUCCCUGGUAUAAGAGAGUUUCAAAAAUUCAAUUGAGUUGUAAUUGCCAAAGUGGUAUACUUGAUUGAGUUUGAGAAAUUUUGGUUUCAUAUAAUAAUUGAGAUGUUUUAUGGUCUAAUGCGUAAUCAUACUAAAAAAAAAAAGAGGUGAUUAUAUAUUAGUUCAUGGAGGGGUAGAGGAGUGAUUGAUCUAAGUGGUUUAUAUGCCCAAAUGUGAUAAAUUCACGAAAAUUGAAAUAUAUUCUCAUAACCACUAUCAUGUAGGGAGUGUACAACUACAUGUCAUGUAUUCUGCCCAAAUGUAAUUUUGUGAUUUUGCAUGUAACUCUCUGAAUAUAUACUCGUACAUCAAAUUACAAAGUGACAACAUGAUGCUAAUUAUAUAUAUUACUUAUCUUUUAGUCACAUUUUCUGUAAACAGUAACUUCGUCACAAUUAAAGAUUCCGAGAUAAUAGGUUAGCUUACUAUGCCCGGAAGUCUUGAAUAAAAUGGUGUAGCUAAAAGACGCAAUCGUACUCUUAUGGAUAUGGUGAGAAGUAUGAUUAGUAGAACCAAUUUACCUGAUUUUCUAUAGGGUAAAGCUUUGAAAACAACUCUUUAUAUUCUAAAUUGUAUUCCUACUAAAGCAGUUCCAUUGACUUAUUUUGAGUUGUAGAUUGAACGUAAACCUAGUUUGAAUCAUCUUAAAGUUUGGGAAUGUCCUGCAAAGGUAAAGUUAUAUAAUUCGACAUUGAGUAAGUUGGAUUCCAAAAUUAUAGUUAUCGUAGUUAGUCCAGGUGGUUGUGAUGCUACAGCUUAAGUCGGAUUUCUUAUAAUUGACUCUUUUCUAAUUAGCUACGGGGUUUGAGCGAUCUGCGUUGCAGGAAACCUUUGAACACAUGCUCAAUCAACCGGUCUUCCUGUCCUAUUAUUUCGGGCUGAACAGUCGAAUACUGCCAUAAUGUUCUUUACUUCAAGAAAGAGACAGAAAAACAGUAGGUACCGAGGAAAUGAGCAAGACCCUCGAUGCCCGGAGGGUCGCUGUAGUGGCCGACACCCACAUCCAUAGAAACAGCACACUGAGCACAAAAGAACCAACCCAGCAUUAGAAGAUCCAUCUAAUCUAACAACAAUCGAAAAAGGCACCAGGAUGUACUCAUCAAGUGCUUCCAAUCAAGAAACAAGAAAGAAUGUGAAAGCUGUUUCCAAGCAUCGACGUUUGCCUUAUCAGUGUCGGGAUCGCUGACGAGAAGGGCCUCCAGGGAGUUCUCAAGAACCACCCUCCUGUACUCCCUCUUGUCAUUUCUGGCCUUGAUAAUGCAAUGAUCCACCAUGGUUUCUGCCAUCCUGCUCUCUGAGUCCAAGAAAAGAUUGAAAAGCAAGAGUUUUGCAGUUUGACCUCAGCCCGUCGUCUCUGAACAGAUGAACUUGCUCGUCUCGAAAUGGGCGUGCUUUAUUGGCUUGGCGGAAGGUGGGAGUUUUCGUCGUUCUUUCCUUUCUCGACAACGCGCACCACAUCAGUUUUCUGGCUAUAAACUGAAAGGGACAAAAUAUCCCAUAAAAUCUUUGGCUCGAGCUGGUCUUAGCAAAUUCAUCUUCUCGCAUGCUGUCCGCCGACAAGUCUUUUGGAGAAAUUCCCGGUUCCUGAGUGGGUAAUUCCGUGAAAAAUUCUUACACUCGUGCCUACACAAAUCGAAUUGAUCAAAGUCGUUGAUUAUGUAUCUUUCAUUAGAUGAGUUGCACAAUUUUUAUUGUAAUCAAACAUUGUGGCUUAAAAAAAUCAUGUUCUUAUAGAGAUAAUUACUUGAAAAGAAUGGGGACAACGUGUGCGGUACACAGAACAACGUGCAUGCACAUGAGCCCCACUACUAUGAGCAUGCACAUAUAGCCACACAAUUCAUGAAGAGUAAGAGGUAAAAUUGAACUUAAUGUCAAAAUGACAAGCAAAUUGAUACCUUCAAUUGCUUCAGAAGAGUCUAUAAAUACUACGGUUGAAACUUAAAAAGAUUGAGUAUCAUUUUAUACAUCACAUAUAUUUUUGAGGUGUCAUGAUAAAGAAAGAUUUACUCCUAAAAGACAUAAUAAUUAUUAUUUUUAUUGCAAUAAUUCAAAGAUAAGAAUAGAUAAAUGGAUUCUUGCUGCAAGAUAAAUAAUGAAUUGACAUAUUUAUCGGCUUCUAGUUUAGUCGAUUUCAUGAAGUGGUGCGAUUGUUUGUCUUGUUAAGGAAGACUUCUUUGGUGGAAUAUUAAGGCAACAGAAUUUUUGUCUUCCCAUUUGAUUCAUUUCGUUUUCUGUCUCAUCGAAAACAUCGACCAUCGUUCAGAAUUUAAAAGAAAAAAAAAAAAACGAAGAACAAAGAGACGUGGAGGACGGACAAUCGGGUUUCGGGAUGACCAUUGGUGUCUUUGGCCUAGUGGACGUUGUACUCGGCUGACUAAAUCGGAAAGUGGCUUUCUCUCUGUUCUCCUUUUCCAAUUCUAGCAAUGGUUAUCAAAAAAAUUCUAAACUAUUUUUAUUUAUACAAGUUGAAAUUUUAGUCAAUUUAAUUUUAAAUUUUUUUAUAAUUUAUUAAUUUUAACUGGAUAUUACUGACGUAGACACCGAUUUUUUUUAUAUGGUAUGGUUGACGUUGACGUAAUCAAUUUUUGUAAUUUUUAAAUGAUUUAUUUAUUUUCCUUUUUUUCUUUUUUCCCCUCUUUCUUUUUUAUUUUUAAAUAGGCCAGAAAGGGCAUAGCAGCCCUUGCCAAUCACUUGGCUGGUAAGGGUCGCGACCUUCUUUCCAAAUUUGGGUUAGGCAACUCCUGCGGCCACCUUAAGACCUUGGAUUGGCAAAAGGAAUAAGAAAAAGAGGAAAAAAAAAUCAUUAAAGAAUUACAAAUUUUAUCCAUGUCAGUAUCAAUCAUGUUAUAAAAGAUGGCUGGCAUCAAUGUCAGCAAUGUCAGCAAUUUCUGACCAAAAUUAUCAAAUCAUUAAAAAGUUUAAAACUAAAUUGACCAAAGACUAAAUUGGUAUAAGUGCAAUAAGUUUCGAUCUUUUUUUGAUAAUUUGCUCUACCCUUUGUGCUUCAAAACUGAGUUUUGCAUUUAUUUUUGUUUUUCCUUUUUAUCGAUUGACCAUCGGGAGUUGUACUAAGAUCAGAAUCACAUUAUACGAAAUGCAUUUAUAUGUUGUCACGCCAUUAACAUGAAUAUAAAAAGCAAAACCAAAUCAUACACACCCAAGGAAUCUCAUUUUACCUUAGCAAGGAAAACGCCACAAGAAACAAGAGAGGGCUGGCAAAGACAUUGAAAGCGAAGGUCCAUCAGACAUAAUUAUACAAUUUGGGUGUCGCCAAUGCACAACCGAGUCCCUGAAAUUGUACAUAAGUCAACCGACUUCUGCUGCCUUCUGCGUAGAAGUUUCAAGUUUCAGAGCUGAGCUGAAUAACAGAACAAACUUCGUUCUUUACUUAUGCAGGUUAUAAUUGAAGAAAAAAUGCAAAUAAUAAACAACAUUUAAGUUCUCCCCGCUCAUAGACGAUCUCCGACUGCAACAGUGUCCAUUUCUACUGCAGAAUACUCCCAACGUUCCUUCUACUCCAAAAUACUGCUGUUUAGAGAGAACCUUAACAUUAUCUGACUUUCUUCAUCUGGAAGACAAGUAUCGAUACCUUACAACUUCACUCGACCAUAAGCCCCUUUAAAUGAGCCAUAAAGAGGUUGAGAUCUUCGAAAACUGAAGAUAUCCUCGAUUUGAACUGAGGAUGGUUGAGCCGGUUGGUUUUUGUCGGUCGUGUACUCAGAUGCGUGCAGGCUCCCAUAAACUCGAAUGGAUAGUGUCUUCUUUCUAGCUGCG